ensembl:lncRNA
GUAACGUAUAGUUCAUAUACAUUUCUGAUGUAAUGGUAGAUCCAAUGUAUGGAUUACAUUUACAUGCUUUAGUGGAGCGCUGUACAAAGAUGUUGACUGAAGGCCGAAUGAACAACAAUGGACCCAAUGUUCAGUGAUAGUCAGGUGUUAUAAGACGCAGUGAGAGAAGAACAUUCAGAAGAGAUUCAUGUGAUUCUUUAAGAGUCAAGAGUAGCUGCUUCCUGUAGAGUCGCCUCCCCAGGGUGUAACAAGGGAGACACACUUAAGCAGUGUUCAAUAGUUUGAUUUGAGACGGGAAACCAACUAUUAUGUUGAUGAUGUUAUGGAUGAGGAUGGCCUGUGUUACGCUACACUGGAUAUCCCUUUACGUUCUCAGAGACCUAAAAAGAAGAGAGUCCAACCCUCAGAGUUCAGCACCUACUCAGCCAUCAAUACUAAGAGGAUGUGACCAUGACCAAGCCUUUUAAUAUAAAUACAAGGGCUCUAAUUCUUCAAUAUGACUUCAACUUUGUGCUUUCUAGAGGAGGCAGACAAUAUCAUUUUCAGAUUCACUCUCAAUAAAAUGCAUGUGAUAUAGUAAAGCUUGUUGG